ensembl:lncRNA
CAGAGAUCCUCAACUGGCAACUUCAUUAGGCAAGGCAAGCCAUCAUCCAGUCUGUUCUCUCCACAUCCAUCACUGUUUGGUUGGGAUCUGCCAUGAAACUGGAAAGGAACAGACUACAAUGGACAGGCAGAACUGCAGAAAAGAUCAUUGGUGCCAACAUGUCCUCCAUCCAGGACUUAUACAAAACCAGAGUCAGUAAAAGGGCAGGAAACAUCACUACAGACCCAUCACAACCUGGAUACAACCUGUUCCAGCCCCUCCCCUCUGGUAGGCACUACAGAGCAAUGUACGCCAAAACAAACAGACACAGGAACAGUUUCUACCCACAGUCCAUCACUCUGAUGAAAAGUCAACUUCAGACACUUAGUGUCAGGCACAAUCCCUGUAUAACAACCCAGUAACUCUGACCCUAACAUCCACCUGCCUACUACUUAUUUAUUUGUCAUCUUGUAAUUCAGUGUUGUUCAUACUGUAUAUAUCAUCAUGGAUGUAGCACAAAAUUCUGGGCCCUGUACAUAGGCGGUCUCUGAGGGCCCCUCCCCACUUUAUUCAAGAUUCAAACAUUUUUGAGGGCCCCUCUACACAUUAGGGCCCUAUAUACUUAGUACCCCUUUUCCCCCCAG